rnacentral:misc_RNA from 1 species
GUGAGUCAUCGAAUCUUUGAACGCACAUUGCGCCCGCCAGUAUUCUGGCGGGCAUGCCUGUUCGAGCGUCAUUUCAACCCUCAAGCCCCCGGGCUUGGUGUUGGGGAUCGGCAAAACGGCCUCGCCAGAGGACGCGCCGGCCCCUAAAUCUAGUGGCGGUCUCGCUGCAGCCUCCGUUGCGUAGUAGCUAACACCUCGCAACUGGAACGCGGCGCGGCCAAGCCGUUAAACCCCCCAACUUCUGAAUGUUGACCUCGGAUCAGGUAGGAAUACCCGCUGAACUUAAGCAUAUCAAUAAGC